rnacentral:tRNA from 1 species
GCCCGCGGCGGGCGGGUACGGCCCGCCGCCCGCGGAGCCGUCCGGCGGCGGUUCCGGCCGCCCCGCGGGCA